UGUGAGUCUGAGACGAAAAAAAUAGUUGUAGGAAAACGAACACCGGACGAAAUCUUUGGCAACUGUAAGAGGAAAUCCCUGCUAUUUGACCCGAAUCGAAUACACAUCCCAAGAAGAAAGACUGUUCGGUUCAUAAGUAACGGAAGAAGAUGAUGAUCUUUUGAUCUUGGACUUCAUCAUCAAAUUCAACCCCGUCGAUACCCCUGCCUUUCCUCUUCAACACUGAGCAUGAACCACUCUCCACAUCUGUCUGAAGGAAGCAAGUCGACAGGAGGCGGUCUACUGUGCAGCCUGGGUAUGGAGUCGGACAGGGGGAUACGUUCUGCCCAAAGUGUUGCCCAUAGCCCGAGCCCUAAUGGCGAAACCCCCAGCUCCAGCCCUCCACUGCUGCUUUCAGCUGGCCUAGGAGGCCUGGGCCUGGGAGCCUUGGGCAUCAUGGGCGAGCCUGCCGGGGCAGAUUGGGAAAGCAGAGAAGAGCUGAGGCUCAGAGAGCUCGAGGAAGCCCGCGCCAGAGCAGCUCAGAUGGAGAAAACCAUGAGGUGGUGGUCAGAUUGCACUGCAAACUGGAGAGAGAAAUGGAGCAAGGUUCGUGCAGAGCGUAACCGUGCACGUGAUGAGGUCCGCCAGUUGAGGCAGAGGCUGGAUGCUCUGACCAAGGAGCUGACCAGCGUUCGACGGGAGCGUCAAGAACUUGCAUCAGAGAAUGAGAUGCUACGACAGGACGGUGUACAUCUUCGUAGUGAUUUACCAGCUCCUCUUCCAGUCAUAAGUUCUGCUUUGCCCCCUGCACACCACCUCUGUGCUUUUUCUGCCUCUUCCUCUCCAUCCAUUGCACCCUCUUCGCCCACCUCCUCGUCCUCCUCAACGCAAGUCCAUACUGAUUGCAACCUAGACAAGUUCGGUGAGGCGACAACUGCGUCGCCAGAGCCAGAACCGGUGCGGGACAUGGACAUGAACGCACAAAAAACAGGUCAACAAAAGCAGGACAUGGCCCUUCUUCAGUCUGCGCUGCAUUUACGAACUCCAGUAGGCGAAACUCAAGGGGCCUGGGACAGUCAGAGUGGCAAUGGCGGCCUUAAUCCACCCGGCACUCGCUCAUCUUCUGGUCUGAGCCGGCAAGAACGCAACAGGCAACUCUGGGGAGACAUGAGCACCACAGAGGACGACUUAAGCAGACUCCAUGCCUUACAGCUUCGUCUGGACGAGUCCCAGAAAGUCCUGUCGAAGGAGAGAGAAGACAAGCUUGCAUUGAGUAAGAGCAUUGAGAAGCUGGAGACAGAGCUCAGUCAGUGGAAACUUAAAUAUGAGGAGCUCAGCAAGACUAAACAGGAAGUCCUUAAACAGCUGAAUCUGUUGAGGGAAAUGCAUCAAGAUGAACUUGGGCGCAUAUCGGAAGACCUGGAGGAUGAACUGGGAGCUCGUUCCAGUAUGGACAAGAAACUAGCUGAAUUGCGAACUGAGAUGGAGAGGUUGCAGGUGGAGAAUGCAGCAGAAUGGGGUCGCAGAGAGCGCUUGGAGACAGAGAAACUGGCGCUGGAGAGGGACAACAAGAAGCUGAGGGCUCAGACUGAAGACUUGGAAGAACAGAUGGCGAAGAAGCGCCGCCAGGCUGCGUCGGCCAUCGACACAGACCUCAAGGCCAUCCAGAUGGAGUUGUUUGAGAAAAACAAGGAGUUGGCCGAUCUCCGUCACAUUCAUACAAAGCUGAAGAAACAGUUCCAGGAAAAGACAGCGGAGCUCGGCCAUGCCAACAGGAGGGUGGAGGGCCAUGAGGCUGAAGUCAAAAAGCUGCGACUGCGGGUGGAAGAGCUGAAGAAAGAAUUAGGACAGGCUGAAGACGAGCUGGAUGACUCCCAUAACCAGACAAGGAAACUCCAGAGGUCUUUGGAUGAACAGGUGGAGCAGACAGAGAACCUGCAGGUCCAAUUGGAACACUUACAGUCCAGUCGGCAAACAACGUCGGCCUUAGGAAGGCCGAAAAGCGUGUUUCCCAGCGUCAGUCAACGUCUCAUCAAAUUAUCGGGUCAAGACUGCAUGCAUGCAUGCAUGCAAUGGGGAAUCACCUCCAAACUUCUCUGCUCAGGAUGUGAGACGCAUCUUCAAACAACAAAAGAUUAACAAAGCGGCAGGCCCGGACCACGUGUCCCCAUCCUGCCUCAAAGUCUGCGCGGACCAGCUCGCUCCAGUCUUCGCUCAGAUCUUCAACAGAUCUCUGGAACUGUGCGAAGUUCCAUCCUGUUUCAAACGCUCCACCAUCAUUCCAGUCCCCAAGAAACCUGCAAUCUCGGGUCUGAAUGACUACGGGCCUGUCGCAUUGACAUCUGUGGUCAUGAAGUCCUUUGAACGUCUCGUGCUGGAGCACCUCAAGAGUGUCACAGGUCCCCUGCUGGACCCCCUGCAGUUUGCCUACCAAGCGAACAGAUCUGCGGAUGAUGCAGUCAAUAUGGGACUGCACUUCAUCCUAGAACACCUCGACAGUGCAGGGACCUACGCGAGGAUCCUGUUCGUGGACUUCAGCUCAGCGUUCAACACCAUCAUCCCUGAACUCCUUUCAUCCAAGCUUCUCCAGCUCAGCGUCUCACCUGCCCUCUGCCAGUGGAUUUACAGCUUUCUGAUGGGCAGGACACAGCAGGUGAGGCUGGGGAGGCCACCUCAUCCACACGCAGCCCCAAGGUUGUGUCCUCUCUCCGCUGCUCUUCUCUCUCUACACGAACGACUGCACCUCAGCGCACCCGACUGUCAAACUCCUGAAGUUUGCAGAUGACACCACUGUCAUCGGCCUCAUCAAGGACGGUGACGAGUCUGCAUAUCGACAGGAAGCGGAGCGGCUGGAGCAGCUGGAGCUGUGGUGCGGCCGACACAACCUGGAGCUGAACACGCUCAAGACUGUAGAGAUGAUCGUGGACUUCAGGAGGCAUCCUUCGCCACAGCUGCCCCUCACGUUGUCCAGCUGCCUCGUGUCAACCGUCGAGACUUUCAAGUUCCUGGGAAUUAGUCUCUCAGGACCUGAAGUGGGCAACCAACAUCAACUCCGUCCUCAAAAAGGCCCAGCAGAGGAUGUACUUCCUGCGGCUUCUGAGAAAGCACGGCCUGCCACCGGAGCUGCUGAGGCAGUUCUACACAGCGGUCAUCGAAUCGGUCCUGUGUUCUUCCAUCACAGUCUGGUUUGGUGCUGCUACAAAAAAGGACAAAAUCCGACUACAAUGGACAAUCAAAACUGCUGAAAGGAUUGUCUGUACCCCCCUACCCACCCUUGAGGACUUGCACGCUGCCAGAACUAAGACAAGAGCGUGCAAAAUCCUCUCUGACCCUCCGCAUCCCAGUCACCAGCUCUUCCAGCUCCUUCCCUCAGGUAGGCUCUACCGAUCAAUGCAAACUAGAACUAGCAGACAUUGCAAAACAGCUUCUUCCCUCUUGCGAUCAACUUCUUAAACACCUAACCAACAAUUCCAUUACAACAUGGUGGCAAUUUUUUUACUUGAGUUCAUUGUCACAUUUCUGUGGGGCCAAUUAUACAUUACUCGUGCACUCACUGUAGUAGUCUCACCACGCUGUACUAUUUGCAUAUCUGUUGUUGACCAAUACUGGCCACUCAUGCCAGAGUAGCAUCUGCUCCAUUUGCACACUGAUUGAGGAGUAUCUGCAACAUUUGCACAAUCGACAUUGUCCCAGAUUGUCGCACUACUCGCCACUUUAAACCGCAUCCACUCCUUGAAGUCUCGGCGCCCUUUGCACGAUGGUCAUUGCACCGGACUAUUGCAAUAUUAGUCAUUCGAACUGCUCAAAGUGCUAGAGGACACAAUUGUCCAAAAAAAUCAAUACAAAAUGUAUCGGCAUUACCAGAUAACUAGCAACCCUUUAUUGCUCAGUGACUGUUUUUUUGUUGUCAAUGUCUUUAUGUCUCAAAAGUGUUCUCUGUCAACUGACUGCCUGAUUGCAACCAAAUGUUAUCCAAAAGAACUCUUUUCAACAUAUGUACAGAGAUCACCCGGGUAGAAGCCAUUGGGCAGAUAAAAAUGUAUUUUCAAACCAAAGCCCAAAUGGUGUAUUUUUUUGUCGAGUGGAUUUAUGCACUUUAAGAUGCGCCAUUUCAAAUUGAAUCUCUAAUUUAAAGAUGAAAAUGAGUGGUGGUAAGACAGUUACUUGUCCAUUCCAGAACUGUGACAAUAGGUUCAGGGCGGUGUCUACUUUUUUUAUCCCAUGUCUCAAACACUCACAAAAAAAUGCAUUAUGAGAGACAUUUCAAACUCUUUGACACCAGAUAGUGAAGCAAAUGCGCUGGUAGAGCGCUUAGGUGCGCAAGCAGACAAGACACACGAGCCAAUGCAAGAUGAUACUCAGGACAAUGCUGAAAGUGAGGAAGACACCUCAGUUUCUGUGGACACAGCUGAUGAAUCCCUCUUCCUUAACAGUUUAGCUUUAUUUUACUAGCUGCAAGGAAAACUGUUGCUCCCAUCGUCAGUAAUCCAGACCAUAAUUGAAGAUCUCCAGGAUGUCCAUUAUGUCAGCCAAUCCCAUUUAAUGCAGACACUUAAAAGCAAGUGUUUUCUCCAACUGAAGCCAAACACUCACUGGAGGAUGUAUGGGAUAGAUUGUUUCAGUCAGACCCAAAUUCCUUGGGCAUAAUCAUAUAUCAGGAUUCACUUGAAGUUGUAAAUCCCCUGGGAUCAGCCAAGAGAAAGCAUACGGUUCUUGCUGUAUACUUCUCACUGGCAGAUGUAGCGCCACACUACAGGUCAGGUGCGGAUCAAAUGCAACUGGUAUUAUUUAUGGGGAGAGCAUGAUUACAAAUACUUUGGCCAGGACAAAGUACUGUAUGUGACUCUCUCAUAAGAGACCUGAAAGAGCUGGAGGAAAAUGGCACCCUCAUUUCUAAUGGACACAUUUACAACGGAGCUGUAUGUGCCAUAGCAGGUGACAACCUGGGCUCACGCAAUAUUGGUGGUUUCAGUGAAAACUUUAGAAAGAGCAUUAACAGGUUCUGUGAUAUUGAUCAUGAAACAUCCAGUUCAGAAAACUUUUGGAUGGCUAGAUGGAAACGCAAAGGGCGGCACGGUGGGCGACCGGUUAGAGCGUCAGCCUCACAGUUCUGAGGACCCGGGUUCAAUCCCCGGCCCCGCCUGUGUGGAGUUUGCAUGUUCUCCCCGCGCCUGCGUGGCUUUUCUCCGGGCACUCCGCUUUCCUCCCACAUCCCAAAAAAAACAGUCAUUGGAGACUCUAAAUUGCCCCGUCGGCAUGACUGUGAGUGCGAAUGGUUGUUUGUUUGUAUGUGCCCUGCGAUUGGCUGGCAACCGGUUCAGGGCGUACCCCGCCUCCUGCCCGAUGACAGCUGGGAUGGGCUCCGGCACGCCCGCGACCCUCGUGAGGAGAAGCGCGACAGAAAAUGGAUGGAUGGAAACACAAAGUCUUUGUCUGCUACCCCUCUAUGACAGAUGUCCACCAACAUUCCACAGGACAGAAGCUCUUCAUUUUCAACCAGUCUCGUGUCUUCUCGAAUCUUACUUGCCUGCAAGAGAAAACUGGCCCGUCAGUUUUGAAGUGAACUGGGACAAAAUGCUCACAAUCAUUCAGAAUGUAAAAAGGCUUUUGCCAACAGAGACGACUCAUGAUCCGCUUUACUUGUUGAUGAUAUAAGAAAGAUUGCCGCAAAUCCAAGCAGAGCCCUGUGUCUCAUCAUUGCAAGGAACAUAGACAAUAGACAGUCUCAAGUCAUUUUUUGACACUUUGGAUGACGAAAAAAACAACUGUAGGAGCAGGACAGCAAUCUCUAUUGUUUCAAAUCAAAACACGUUGAACAUUUGAACAGGAACAACACCCUCGCUUGUUGCCGAGAGGUGAUGCCAAAGAGGCUAGAUGAAUGCGAGGACCUGCAGACACCUAGGGCUCCACGCAGUGGCAGCCUGAGCUUCCAUCUAAGGAGAAUCUCUGGAAAAUAAGAGAUUUUUUGGACGAGGGUUCAUCUGGGAUGGAAAAAGCAGAAGUGUUAGAACUGAUGGAGACAACAUACUACUUGCAAUUGAGGUAUGCGCUGGUAACAAGCCCUCUCGUCAAUUGCGACCCCUGCCAAUACCACAACGUCCUUGGUCAGACAUUUCCAUAGACUUUGUGACAGGAUUACCGGCCUCCAAAGGAAAUACCACUGUUCUCACAGUUGUUGACAAGUUCUCUAAGAUGGCACACUUCAUUGCACUGUCGAAACUCCCCUCAGCUAAAGAAACUGCCGAGUUGAUGAUAAACCAGAUAUUCAAGUUUCAUGGUUUUCCCAAGAAUGUGGUAUCGGAUAGGGGCCCCCAAUUCGUUUCACGAUUUUGGAUGGAGUUUUGCAAAUUAAUAGGUGCCACCGUCAGUCUGUCAUCUGGGUUUCAUCCUGAAACCAACAGACAAACUGAGAGGCUGAACCAGGACCUGGACACUGGGUUCAGAUAUCUUGCGUCACAGGAGCCACAAUCCUGGACUCAGAAGCUGGUUUGGGUCGAGUUCUCUCACAAUUCUCUCCCCUCUGCAUCCACUGGUCUAUCCCCUUUUCACAUUGUGCAUGGUUACCAACCAUCUCUGUUUCCUGCCAUAGCCCCAGAGUCCACGGUUCCAUUUGCAUUGACCUUGGUGAGACGCUGCAGGAGGACCUGGGAGCAAGCCCGCCAAAUGCUGCCACGCCAAGGACAGUCCUACAAGACCCCAGCUCGCCGUAAGAGGACACCGGCCCCAAACUACAAAGUGGGACAGCGAGUUUGGCUCUCCACCAAGCAUAUUCCACUCCGGGUGGAGUCCCGGAACCUCGCUCCGAGGUUUGUUGGGCCCUUCCCCAUCACAAAGCUCAUCAACCCUGUCACCAUGAAGCUUAGGCUCCCAAGGUCGAUGCGGGUCCACCCAGGAUUUCAAGUCGGCCUGCUCAAGCCCGCCCGGGAGUCCCCUCUGGUUCUGCCUUCCAGGCCCCUUCCUCCCCCCCGUUUCGUGGACGGGGGCCCCGUCUUCACGGUGAGGUCAGUCUGAUUGAUAAUUCCUUUCAGUGUUUUGACGUUCGGUUUUCGACCCUGGCCCCCCAGUUUCAGUUUUGUCUCUAGAAUACCUCGAUAGUCUUGAGAUUUUAUUGUACCCUGCACAGAUUCAAGAGAACCUGUGCCAGAGGGAUCAAAGCAGCCCCAGAACAUAAAAGAGCCGCCUCCAUGUUUCACAGAAGGGACAUUGUUCUUUUUUUGGUAUACUUGUAAUUCAUUUUUGCAUCUGUGAAAAUAGAGGUGCUGUGCCUUGCUAAAAAGUUGCAGUUUUGUCUCCUCUGUCCAUAGGACAUUCUUCCAGAAGCUUUGUGGCUUGUCAAUAUGCAGUUUGGAAAAUUCCGGUCUCACUUUUUUCAUUAUUUAUUGUCAACAGUGGUGACCUCCUUGUUUGUCUCCCAUGAAUUCCACUUUGGUUCAAACAAUAACGGAUACUGCGAUCUGACACUGAUGUACCUUGACCUUGGAGUUCACCUUUCAUUUCUUUGGAGGUUGUUCUGGGAUCUUUUGUUACCAUUUGUAUUGUCUGUCUCUUCAAUUUGUCAUCAGUUUUCCUCCUGCAGAAACAUCCAGGGAAAAAUUAUCCAAUUAUUUUGAAUCUUGGGGUACCACCAUUUUUGUCUAGGCCUCUUGUUUUUUAAUUUAUGCUGAACCACAUUUCAAAAGCAAUGAAAUAAGGGGUUUGUUUGUAUGUUUUUUUUUUGUGCAUUCUUGUUUUAAAAAACACUUGUGUACAAAUUGUAUUGAUUUGGAACUGUUAUCAAUGCAUAAAACCAAUUUUAAAAAAGUUUGACCAAAAAAAAAAAAAAAAAAGAAUCACGGGAUUGAUUUGAGCAGACGAAAAUUGUACUGAUAACAUUUACAGCCGAUGAAAGGUAUGAGGAUAUGGACGAGUGCAAUAUAAAGAUCAGAGCAAAAUCAUUUGUCUGUUGUGAUUACCAGCAGUCAUGUGUGUUUUCUUUCAUAUUGCAUUGUCUGCAAUAGGGAGUUGGAAAUGUAUUUAGGAAGAUGGACUUUCAGGAGCUUGCCUGACUUCGCCUGUUGCCUUCUUUACUUCAGGUGUCAUAGUGGACCCAACGAGCCUUCAGUAGUGUCAGACGGCCAAUGAGAUUUAAAAUAUACUUUUAAAUCUUAACUUU